rnacentral:rRNA from 1 species
AGUGAACGCUGGCGGUAUGCCUAACACAUGUAAGUCGAACGGCAGCACAGUAAGAGCUUGCUCUUACGGGUGGCGAGUGGCGGACGGGUGAGGAAUACAUCGGAAUCUAAUUUUUCGUGGGGGACAACGUAGGGAAACUUACGCUAAUACCGCAUACGACCUACGGGUGAAAGCAGGGGAUCUUCGGACCUUGGGCGAUUGAAUGAGCCGAUGUCGGAUUAGCUAGUUGGCGGGGUAAAGGCCCACCAAGGCGACGAUCCGUAGCUGGUCUGAGAGGAUGAUCAGCCACACUGGAACUGAGACACGGUCCAGACUCCUACGGGAGGCAGCAGUGGGGAAUCUUGCGCAAUGGGCGCAAGCCUGAUCCAGCCAUACCGCGUGAGUGAAGAAGGCCUUCGGGUUGUAAAACCCUUUUGUUAGGAAAGAAAAGCAGCAGGAUAAUACCCCGCUGUUCUGACGGUACCCAAAGAAUAAGCACCGGCUAACUUCGUG